rnacentral:rRNA from 1 species
GACAGAGGGUGCAAACGUUGUUCGGAAUUACUGGGCGUAAAGCGCGUGUAGGCGGCUGCGCAAGUCGGAUGUGAAAUCCCGUGGCUCAACCACGGAAGUGCACCCGAAACUGCGUAGCUGGAGUCUCGGAGAGGAAGGUGGAAUGCUUGGUGUAGAGGUGAAAUUCGUAGAUAUCAAGCGGAACACCGGUGGCGAAGGCGGCCUUCUGGACAGUGACUGACGCUGAGACGCGAAAGCGUGGGGAGCAAACAGG